rnacentral:tRNA from 1 species
GUCGGAGUGGCCUAGUCUGGUUAGGGCGUCGGACUCAUAGGGUGUCAUAAUGCCCAACCUGAGACAUCCGGAGGUCGGGGGUUCGGAUCCCCCCUCCGACA